UACGUAGGGUGCAAGCGUUAAUCGGAAUUACUGGGCGUAAAGCGUGCGCAGGCGGUUUGGUAAGACAGAUGUGAAAUCCCCGGGCUCAACCUGGGAAUUGCAUUUGUGACUGCCCGACUAGAGUGUGUCAGAGGGGGGUAGAAUUCCACGUGUAGCAGUGAAAUGCGUAGAGAUGUGGAGGAAUACCGAUGGCGAAGGCAGCCCCCCUGGGAUAACACUGACGCUCAUGCACGAAAGCGUGGGGAGCAAACAGG
rnacentral:rRNA from 1 species